UACGUAGGGUGCAAGCGUUGCCCGGAUUUAUUGGGCGUAAAGGGCGCGUAGGCGGGUCUUUAAGUCAGGGGUGAAAUCCUGGAGCUCAACUCCAGAACUGCCUUUGAUACUGAAGAUCUUGAGUUCGGGAGAGGUGAGUGGAACUGCGAGUGUAGAGGUGAAAUUCGUAGAUAUUCGCAAGAACACCAGUGGCGAAGGCGGCUCACUGGCCCGAUACUGACGCUGAGGCACGAAAGCGUGGGGAGCAAACAGG
rnacentral:rRNA from 1 species